rnacentral:lncRNA from 10 species
AGGUCCUCUCUACUCAAUACAAUUGUUUUUCUUUAUUAAUAAAAUGUUCAAGAUUAAAGCUCCCACUGAAGGAUCUGAUGUGAGGUUAAAUCAUUGGGGAAAAGUGGACAUGGCUGCAGAAAGAGAAAAUACAAAUUAUAUGGGAGAAAGAAUAGCAGGGCUUAGGGACGGUGGUAACCAUGACCAUAGGGAUGGAGCAGUGGAAAUUGUAACUGUUUGGAAUUUUUUCUAAGGCCUGAUGUCUGGGAGCUCGUCUAAUUCUGCCACUUUAAGGGUCUACUCUGCAGUCCUCAAAGUUCAGAUGAUUCUUCCCCAAACCAUCAAAGACAGCCCUGGCUGUCUCUGAGUUCUUAUGCCCAUGAGGAUGACCUAUGAAUCCCAGAAAGAUACAGGUAGAUAAAUUUUCCAUUCUCCCCCAACCUUGCUCCCUUUCUAGAUUCCUUGGAGAUUAUCAGCAAUGGCAAAGGCACAAGAAAAUAUAUGUGAACUCUUGCUCCUCAGAAAUAUGUUGUGGCCAGUUUCCUGAUAGGACACACCAGUGGAUCCUAUAAUUCCAGCAGCCAGCUUGAGUCCCAUCUCCCCAGUGAAGUCUUUCAUGAACUACCCUGACCCCCAUUGCUUUCUUCUGCACCUGGCAGGAAGCUAGUAGCUAUAGAGCAGAAGAGUAUAAGGUUUGGGUGAGACAAAUGGGCUCCAACCCAAGAUCUACAACCUUUGAGCUGUGUAAACUUACCCUUUUAAGUAUCUGAUUCUUGCUAUAAAAUGGAUUAAUCAUAGUGCCUACUUCACAGAGUUGCUGUGAUUAUUGAGAAGAUGUAUAUAAAGUACUUAGCAUUGCAAGCAUUCAAUAAAGACUACUAUUUCUCUCUGGCAACCUCCCAUCAUCCUUUUCUGUUUCCAGAAUUGAGAAUCACCAGAGAACUCUGUUCCAGGAAUCAAGUGAUUAAAGUUACAGUUCCAGUGUCAUCACUAAAUAGCAAGGUGACCUUGGAUGCCUCAUUUUAUCAAAUCUCUCCAUUUUUCAACCUCUAAAAGUAGGAUAAUUUCACAGAUUUGUUAUAAGGAUGAAAAGAGAAAAUGGAUGGGAAAAGUUUGUGAAAGCCUUUGAGAUGUAGGACAAUAAAAAUGGGAAGAGAUCUGCUGGGAUGUUAUCUAGCCCAACCUUCCACCAGGGGCUCACUGAGACUCUGCAUGGAACUUUCACUAAUGGAAAAAUCACUCCCUCGCAGCAAGGUUUCAUUGUUGGCAGACACAAAAAGGACUUUCAAAAAUUAUUUUUAAAAUUUAAGAGAUAUUAUGUCUCUAGGAUGAUAUACAUGUUUCAAGUAGUAUUAAAAGCCACACUGAUGGAUAUGUAAUAAUAAAC